UUUAUUCGUAAAUCCGUAGAUUUGAAGUUUUGCAGUCUUAUGAAGAAUUGACUUAUUUAAAACAACAAGAUGUCAGAUCACUUUGGUCCAAUAACUUUAAAAUGGGAUCCCAAGAAUUUAGAGAUUCGUACAAUGUCUGUAGAAAAGACAUUGGAGCCUUUGGUUUUACAAGUAACUACACUUGUAAACACAAAGGGUCCCAGCAAGAAGAAAAAAGGAAAGUCAAAGAGAGCCAGUGCUCUGGUCGGAACUGUAGAGAAGGCAACUAGUAAUUUCAUUGAAAGAGGUGAACAAAUUGCUUAUGAAAAUCCUGAUAUCACUGCUGAAAUGUUAAGUGCUGUGGAGGAAGUAAGGAAAACAGGUGCUGCCAUGAGCAUUGCUGCUAGGGAAUUCUCUGAAGAUCCUUGCUCCUCUUUAAAAAGAGGCAAUAUGGUCCGUGCUGCAAGAAAUCUAUUAUCUGCAGUAACUCGUUUACUUAUUCUAGCAGACAUGGUCGAUGUACAUUUGUUACUGAAAUCUUUGCACGUGGUGGAAGAUGAUCUGCAGAAGUUAAAGAAUGCAUCCUCCCAAGGAGAACUAUUAGAAAACAUCAAACAGUUUGGAAGAAAUGCAUCAGAACUUAUGAAUCAAGCUGCAAAACGUCAACAAGAAUUGAAAGAUCCUCAGUUAAGGGAUGACUUAGCUGCAGCCAGAGCUGUACUAAAGAAACACUCCACUAUGCUUCUCACUGCUUCUAAAGUUUAUGUUCGACAUCCUGAACUGGCCGCGGCAAAAGCAAAUCGUGAUUAUGUUUUGAAGCAAGUAUGCGAAGCUGUGAACACUAUUAAUGAUGUUGCCCAAGGAAAGACUCCUCUCGAUAGUCAGCAUCCUUACGAAGGCCCCGGUGAAUUAGCUGCUGCUUUAGACGAUUUUGAUGAAAGAAUGGUGAUGUCUCCACUUGCGUAUAACGAAGUACGUACAAGACCCAGCCUGGAGGAACGAUUGGAAAGCAUUAUAAGUGGUGCUGCACUGAUGGCAGAUUCUUCGUGCACCAGAGAUGAACGCCGAGAGCGCAUUGUUGCCGAAUGCAAUGCAGUUAGGCAAGCUCUUCAAGAUUUGCUCAGUGAAUAUAUGAAUAAUAUGGGCGUCAAGGAACAGUCAGAAGGUUUGGAAAGAGCGAUCGAUCAUAUGUGCAGAAAGACACGCGAUCUUCGUAGGCAAUUAAGAAAGGCCGUAGUAGAUCACGUGUCUGACAGCUUCUUAGAAACAAGCGUACCAUUAUUGGUUUUGAUCGAAGCUGCGAGAAACGGUCGUGACAAAGAAGUAGAAGAGUAUGCUCUUGUUUUCACAGAGCACGCAAAUAAGUUGGUCGAGGUGAAUUUCACAAACAAUAUUAUUCUAUUAAUUACCGAUCUUUAUUCGAAAAAAAGAUUCAGUGUUCGAUAUAUGUCAAUAAUGUUGCAUUCAUUUGAUCAGGUUGCCAAUCUAGUAUGUAGUAUGUCGGGAAACGAAGACGGUGUGAAGAUGGUUCGUUACGCUGCAGCUCAAAUCGGGAACCUAUGCCCGCAAGUAAUUAACGCGGCUCGCGUAUUGGCAGCUCGUAAUCGGUCGAAAGUCGCCCUAGACAACAUGGAAGUGUUUAGACAAGCAUGGGAGAACCAAGUGAGAGUAUUAACGGAAGCCGUCGACGACAUUACCACUAUCGACGAUUUCUUGGCCGUCUCCGAGAACCAUAUCUUGGAAGACGUGAACAAAUGCGUGCUGGCAUUGCAAGAAGGCGACGCAGACACUUUGGAUAGAACCGCUGGCGCAAUUCGCGGCCGUUCGGCCCGAGUCUGUAACGUUGUCCAAGCUGAGAUGGAUAACUACGAGCCUUGUAUCUAUACCAAACGGGUCUUAGAAGCCGUGAAAGUUCUUAGGGAACAAGUAAUGCCAAAAUUUGCGCAGAGAGUAGAAGUCGCUGUAGAUGCUUUGGGUAGUAAUCCCGCUAAAGACGUGGACGAGAAUGAUUUUAUAGAUGCUUCAAGACUAGUUUACGACGGAGUCCGUGAAAUUAGACGCGCUGUACUCAUGAAUAGAGCGGAUGAAGACUUGGAUCCGGAAGAUGUCGAGCUGGACGAACAUUAUACGCUGGAAACUCGCAGCAAAUCCAGUGCCCAAACUGGCGAGCACGGUGUCGAUGAAUAUCCAGAAAUUAGUGGUAUUACAACUGCUCGCGAAGCUAUGCGCAAAAUGCCAGAAGAAGACAAACAGAAGAUCUUGCAACAAGUGGAGUUUUUCAAGAGUGAAAAAUUAAAAUUCGACAAAGAGGUUGCCAAAUGGGACGACGCUGGAAAUGAUAUAAUUGUUUUGGCGAAGCAUAUGUGUAUGAUCAUGAUGGAAAUGACUGAUUUCACCAGAGGUCGUGGACCUCUAAAAACCACCAUGGAUGUUAUAAACGCAGCGAAAAAGAUUUCUGAAGCUGGAACGAAACUAGAUAAAUUAACUAGACAAAUCGCGGAUCAGUGCCCAGAGAGCUCUACCAAGAAAGAUCUCCUGGCAUAUUUACAACGUAUAGCAUUGUAUUGUCAUCAGAUGAAUAUAACUAGCAAAGUCAAAGCGGAUGUACAAAACAUUAGCGGUGAACUGAUUGUAUCUGGACUGGACAGUGCGACUUCCCUCAUUCAGGCGGCGAAAAAUUUAAUGAACGCAGUGGUUCUUACUGUUAAAGCUUCGUAUGUUGCGUCAACGAAGUAUCCUCGACAAUCAACGGUAACUGUAAGUAUCGUCAAUGCUCUAUGUUUGGUUAUACUAUAGUAAAGUAUGUAGGAAUUUGUAUAUACCUAAUAUUAAUCCUAAAACAUUUACUAACAAAAACUUGGAUUAUGCAGUAUUCUCCAAUCGUUGUUUGGAAAAUGAAGGCGCCA
rnacentral:misc_RNA from 1 species